AAGCAAAACGUCGCGAAAGGCGGAAAACUGUAUCUGUGGUAGUUGGCGUUAGUCACACAACGGUGUGUUUUAAGGGAGUAAAGAUUGAUAAAGUCUGAGAAGUAUGGAUAUGGAUGCUGUGAAGAAAGAAAAGCUAUAGCUCUAAGUGAAAAUGGCCUGGGGCCUAUGGAAGCUCCAUGCAGCAAGAACCUGAAGGUGAUCUCUAGAAGCUUAGAGUGGCCUCAAAUCAACAACUACCAAGAAAAAGGUUCCUAACCACACAACUCAAAAGAACUGAAUUCCCCUAACAACCAUGUGAGCUUGGAAGACACCCUUAAGCCUCAGGUGAGAUAAAGCCCCAGCCAACCCAGUGACAUCAGCCUGGUGAGAUGCUGAGCAGAGGACUGCAUUAACCCACAGAAAC